CCUACGGGUGGCAGCAGUGAGGAAUAUUGGUCAAUGGCCGAGAGGCUGAACCAGCCAAGUCGCGUGAGGGAAGACGGCCCUACGGUUGGUAAACCUCUUUUGCCGGGAAGAAAAGCGAGACACGUGUGACUCAUUGAGAGUACCCGAACAACAAGCAUCGGCUAACCCCGCGCCAUCAGCGGCGGUACUACGGAGGAUGCGAUCGUUAUCCGGAUUUGUUGGGUUUAAAGGGUGCGCAGGCGGGGGUGCAAGUCAGCGGUAAAAUUGCGGGGCUCACCCCCGUACUGCCGUUGAAACCGGAUGCCUUGAGUGCGCGAGAAGUAUGCAGAAUGCGAGGUGUAGCGGUGAAAUGCAUAGAUAUCACGCAGAACACCGAUGGCGAAGGCAGCAUACUGG
rnacentral:rRNA from 1 species